GAGGGUAUAGCUCAGUGGUAGAGUGCAUCCCUAGCACGCUGAGGCCCUGGGUUCAAUCCUCAGUACCUCCA
rnacentral:tRNA from 1 species